AAGGAGUCUAACAUAUCUGCGAGCAUUUGGGUGUCAAACCCGAGUGCGCAAUGAAAGUGAACGUAGGAGCCACGCGCAAGCUGUAGCUUCGACCGAUCUGGAUCUUUAGUGAUGGAUUUGAGUAAGAGCAUUUAUGUUGGGACCCGAAAGAUGGUGAACUAUGCCUGAAUAGGGCGAAGCUAGAGGAAACUCUGGUGGAGGCUCGUAGCGAUUCUGACGUGCAAAUCGAUCGUCAAAUUUGGGUAUAGGGGCGAAAGACUAAUCGAACCAUCUAGUAGCUGGCUCCUGC
rnacentral:misc_RNA from 1 species